AUUGGAACACCGCACUGUUUCCUCAGCUGAUUACCAGAUAUAGUAACUGAACUUUUGUAAUCAAGAAUAUGCAGAAUGGUUCUAUGACCUUUAUUCAAACACAGGCUGUAUGACUUACCCAUAUUCUUGGACAAGAAUGCAUCUGAUGACAUGAGGCUGUACUAGCACUUCUAAGUCCGUUGCACAGAAGCUUCAGUAGAGAACGCUCAAGAAACAGGACUGUGAUGCAAAGCCCCAGGAGCUUUUGCUUUCCAGCACUCCCAGUCUCCACUGAAUGCACUGACUUCAGUACUCUCCCAAGACUCCUGCUGAAGCUCACAGGAGUAUGCUGCUCAUGUGAAGCGAAG